CAGCUUGAGGCCAUUUCCUCUUGUCCUAUUGCUUUUUACCUGGGAGAAGAGAUCGACCCCACCUCACUACAACCUCCUUUCAGGCUGAACCAGCCCAGCUCUCUCAGCCUGGCUCCAUAGCAGAGGUGUUCCAGCCCUCAGAAUAUAUGUGGCCUCCUCUGGGCUUGCUGCAACAGCUCCACGUCUCUCUUGUGUUGGCUGCCCCAGAGCUGAACACAGGACUGCAGGUGAGGUCUCACAAGAGUAGUGUAAACAUCUUCCAUUCUAUUAUUUACUCUUCAUUGUUGCUUACCUAAUCUCUUACAUGUAUUGUUUGGAUUUUUUUUUUCCUUUAUACUGCACAGAAAAACAUUCUGUACCACAUCUUCAUAUGGAUUGCCAGUUGCCCUAAUCUUCUGUCACUCACUGUGCACCCCUGCAAUUAAAGGUUUCCAGUAACUAGCAA